GCGUACUGAAACCAGGGGUUUCUACCUCGGCAUUUCUCUGACUGCCGGAAUGGCUUCCCCAAGGAAGGUCCAUUGGCUCUGCGUUGUCCGGUGAGAGGACGGACUUUGGGAACUCAACAAGGGAAUGAUGUGAGGGAGAAAGAUACCGCCUUGCCGUUUUGCAGAAGUCGAAGGAGGACUACACAGAGCUUGGUAGUGCCGGCCUCCCCAAGCUCAUGCUGCUGCCGGUGUCAAUUAACCCAGAGCAAUAUCCGGAGUUUUCCAGCAAAAGGGCGAGGUGACAAGGAGGCCGACCUGCUGCUGAUUGACCCCCUGCCAGGACAAGGAGGAAUCAAACACAUGGGCUUGAAAGUCAAGUCUUUGUCUUGCUGAUCUUGGACAAAAAGGGCAGUGAGAAGAACAUCCUUGUCUUUGACUUAAGUGGUGGUACUUUUGAUGUCGAUAUCCUGACCAUUGCCAACGGUGGGUUUUAGAUGUUGGCCACCAAUGGCGGUACUCUUUUUGGAGCUGAGGACUUCGACCACAGAGUCAUGAACUACUUCAUCAAGUUGAACAAGAAGUACAACAGGGAAAACCAUGCUCUUGGAAAGAUGAGGAGGGGAGCCCUGACCCAUGGCAGCCGAACAACGACCCCUUCUGCAAGACCAUGGGACCUGUGAAGAAGGCCAUGGAUGAAGCUGGCCUUGAAAAUAGCUACCGAAGAUCUAACACCUUCUCAGGGACUACUCCGAUGGUAAGGAGCCAAAGAAGGGUCUAUUUUGAGUUUGUGAGCACUAGCACCAAGGUGCCAAAUUGCAAACUAAAUGGUCUUUCAAAUGACCUCCUCUUAGAUUCCAAAGUUUAGGUUGCCUGGUUCUUUUCCCUGUGAUUAGAAGAGCUUAACUAAGGAUCAAUCUUCACCAGCAAGGUUUAUGUAUGUCAGUUUGUUGGGCCUAUCAGUAUAGAUAUCUACGAGCCGGUUUAGUGCACCUUUGAAGUUACUAUUAGGACAUUCCCAAGAAAGUCGCUGAAGAGGAAGACACUCAUGUGGUAUAGUAUUGACGCAAUGUCGACACUUCAGCAUGAAAACCUCAAGAGGACUCGGAUCAACAAUGCAGGUAUUCCACAGUGGUUAGUCUGGAUCAAGCAGUUCGAGUGGCACUUAUGGGCUUCUACGGUCCUGAUAGUCGGGAGGAUACAAGACACGAGGGAGCUCCUCGAACAUUGCCGAUGCUGGAGGACCCUCCAAUCCUGUCCGAGUCGAGGUCACGUGCCUCCGUUAUAAGGACCUUGGUUGAUCAUGCAAAGCCGGAGAUCAAGGCUCUGCGCAUCUCUUAGCGAGAAGUCUGUCCCACCCAAGCUGCUGCUACCGCCGUCUUCCCUGACCUUCUGCGGCAUGGGAAUACGUCCUCAUUGAAGGUAUUGAACAUGUACCCAUUUUUAUCAUAGAUGGUUUAUACGUCCUCAUUGAAGGAUGUCGUUUUUCUUGCAAUAGGAAGGAUUGUGAGACCAGCUGUUGAUGCUGUAUUUUGGAAGAUGUUGUGUACCCUACCGAGAUUGUGGGAAUGCGGGUUUUGAUGGUGCCAAGAUCUACUUGAACCCAAAGGAGCGCAACAGCACCAAAUACAAGCUGGACACCUUCUCUUCAGUCUACUGCUGGCUUUGCAGGAAGAAGGCAAGGCCUUGAAGAAGAAACCCCGUCUGAAUGUCUGAUCACCGCAAAGGUGAAGCUAGAGAGGCAGGUGUGCUUGGAGUAGUUCUCGGCCCUGAAGGCCCUGUGCUGGGUGUUAAUGUGGUCGCAGGGGAGCACCGUCACAGUGGCGCUGUGAUGCUUAGCUCCAUCGAUAGGAACAGAGAAGUAUGAUGUAUGUCAAGAGCUGUAAGAGAAGCAGUACAUGCAGGACCUGUAGAAGAAGAUAGCAGAGAGACAGAAGGCUUUUUAAAAGGCAUGAAGCAUGUCAGGUCGGAGAGCGGGAUUGUGCUCGCCAAGCCAUUCGUUGAUGUCCGCAAGAAGAUCCUACCUGUUUUUGGUUCUUCACCAGUUACGACUUAUUUUAGCAAGUCGUCACCAUAGGCAACGGAUGCAGCUACAACUUUAAAGAAAGGCACUUGUCGCCUGGCCGGGUGUCGCCCUGUUGCAAAAAAUACUGCCUGGGUUCAUCACUAAGAAGGCAGAGAGAUAGAAACAAUGCUCACUCCCUGUUUGGAAGGCAUGAAGCAUGUCAGGUCGGAGAGGGGGGUUGUGCGAGCCAAGCCAUCCAUUGAUAUGUGCAAGCGGAUUCUACCUGUCUUGGCAGGUUGGAUCUAGGAUAGAUGGCGAGCAAUCGUUCAUGCCGUUGUAGGAGAUGUGCAGGUCUAAAGCAAACGGAUAAUCAAAUUUGUGGACCUUUGUCACAGGCAGAUGAUUUUCUUGGUUUAUGCGUUUGCCUUUGUCGAGUUUCUCUGGGAAUUUAAUAUUGCUCAGACUUGUUAGUGGCUUCAUUAUUAAACUUCCAAACUAUUGUCAACCUUUUAGGAAAGCGGUGUUGGAUGCAUGCUGGGAUAGUCUAUCUUUUUUUUCGUACAUGUAGUCCUCUAUAUCCUUGUAAAAAAAUCGACACAUCUGUCACUUGAGCAGAAUUUAUCCGUGACCU